GUGGGGAAUUUUGGACAAUGGGCGCAAGCCUGAUCCAGCCAUUCCGCGUGCAGGAUGAAGGCCUUCGGGUUGUAAACUGCUUUUGUACGGAACGAAAAGGUUCUCUCUAAUACAGGGGGCUGAUGACGGUACCGUAAGAAUAAGCACCGGCUAACUACGUGCCAGCAGCCGCGGUAAUACGUAGGGUGCAAGCGUUAAUCGGAAUUACUGGGCGUAAAGCGUGCGCAGGCGGUGAUGUAAGACAGAUGUGAAAUCCCCGGGCUCAACCUGGGAACUGCAUUUGUGACUGCAUUGCUGGAGUGCGGCAGAGGGGGAUGGAAUUCCGCGUGUAGCAGUGAAAUGCGUAGAUAUGCGGAGGAACACCGAUGGCGAAGGCAAUCCCCUGGGCCUGCACUGACGCUCAUGCACGAAAGCGUGGGGAGCAAACAGGAUUAGAUACCCGUGUAGUCC
rnacentral:rRNA from 1 species